rnacentral:rRNA from 1 species
UACGUAGGGUGCGAGCGUUGUCCGGAAUUAUUGGGCGUAAAGAGCUUGUAGGCGGUCUGUCGCGUCUGCUGUGAAAAUCCGGGGCUCAACCCCGGACUUGCAGUGGGUACGGGCAGACUAGAGUGUGGUAGGGGAGACCGGAAUUCCUGGUGUAGCGGUGAAAUGCGCAGAUAUCAGGAGGAACACCGAUGGCGAAGGCAGGUCUCUGGGCCACUACUGACGCUGAGGAGCGAAAGCGUGGGGAGCGAACAGG